GCUGUCUAUAGCAUACUAUAGCUGUGUUUGAAACUCAYUGCACCUUGAGCUCAGUGAUUAAUCCUUCUGCCUUGAUGCUGCAAAUAAGUCCCAGCCAACUCUGUGGAAAAGCUGAGGGUGUGAACAGCAUAUGAGAAGAGCAGGUCCUCCUGAGUGCCUUGGCUCUGACACAGCAUCUGUAUGGGGACCAACAGCAACAUCUGCCUGCCAGUUCCUGUGGAAAACCCUCCUCCUCUGAGCUCUUCCG